rnacentral:ncRNA from 2 species
UCGCGUUCGCGUCACUGGCGCCGCGAGAGGGAGCACCCUCGGGGAGCGCGGACACCAUACCGUAGCCGCGCGCCUGGGCACUCCUC